UCAUAGUAGUAGUGAUAUAUUUAAAAAGUUGAAAAAGGCUUAAAAACCGAUAAGAGAGUAUGUGUUGGUCGGCAUGAUUGUGCAUGAUGAAAAUUCUUUUUGGUCCCACAAAUUUAUUCUUCUUAUAUAAUACAUAAUAAAUAAUAAUAUAAAUAAAUAUAUAUAUACAUAUUCUUAUGACAGACAGAAAAAACAAGAAUGAGAAAAAAAAGGAAGAUUAGCUAGCUAGAAGAAGAACAAGUAGAGAAAAUGGAAUGAGAGGUUGCAAUAAUAAUUGCCACAAAAAUAUAAGGAGAUUGAGAAAUAGAACAAUGAUGUCUCUUAAGGUAAUACCAUCGACGGUUGAUAUGUAUGUUGUUGUUGAAGGGUUAAAAAAGUACAUAGUAAAUUUAAAUACAAGGUGUGUAGUUGUUGGAGAUUUCACCAUUAUGAAAUACCAUGUGAUCAUGUAAUUGCAGUUUUUAGAUACAAGAAGCUGCAUGAAACAUAUUUCUGUUCUGUCUUUUAUAGCCUGAAGAAUUUCAGAGGUGCAUAUGUCAUCCCUGUUGAACCUAUCACAUGCGAGAGUACGUGGGAUAUACCUAGUUAUAUUUCAAAGCCUAAAUUGAUGUCACCCGGUCCAAGUAGAUCAGUUAGAAAAUCACAUGUUGAACGUUGGAUUGAGUUUGCUGAUGUGAAAUUCAAAAGGUCAAAGGUUACUUGCAGUAGAUGUCGUCAAGUUGAACAUAACAAAAAGACAUGUUCAAAUUAUCCUGUUAAAAAAAAUGACGUCGUGAUUUUUACUUUUUGUUACACAACAUGUUUUGUUUUAUCGAAUGAAUUUGGUAUAAUUAAUAUUUGAGUGGUUGUGAUUUCUUAAUAUUAUCCAACUAUAAAUAAUAUUGAAACA